AGAGUUUGAUCCUGGCUCAGAGCGAACGCUGGCGGCAUGCUUAACACAUGCAAGUCGCACGGGCAGGGCAACCUGUCAGUGGCGGACGGGUGAGUAACGCGUAGGAAUCUAUCUCCGGGUGGGGGACAACCGUGGGAAACUACGGCUAAUACCGCAUGAUACCUGAGGGUCAAAGGCGCAAGUCGCCUGGAGAGGAGCCUGCGUCCGAUUAGCUUGUUGGUGGGGUAAAGGCCUACCAAGGCUCCGAUCGGUAGCUGGUCUGAGAGGAUGAUCAGCCACACUGGGACUGAGACACGGCCCAGACUCCUACGGGAGGCAGCAGUGGGGAAUAUUGGACAAUGGGCGAAAGCCUGAUCCAGCAAUGCCGCGUGGGUGAAGAAGGUCUUCGGAUUGUAAAGCCCUUUCGGCGGGGACGAUGAUGACGGUACCCGCAGAAGAAGCCCCGGCUAACUUCGUGCCAGCAGCCGCGGUAAUACGAAGGGGGCUAGCGUUGCUCGGAAUGACUGGGCGUAAAGGGCGCGUAGGCGGUUCGUACAGUUGGAUGUGAAAUUCCUGGGCUCAACCUGGGGGCUGCAUUCAAUACGUGCGAGCUUGAGUUCGGAAGAGGGUCGUGGAAUUCCCAGUGUAGAGGUGAAAUUCGUAGAUAUUGGGAAGAACACCGGUGGCGAAGGCGGCGACCUGGUCCGAUACUGACGCUGAGGCGCGAAAGCGUGGGGAGCAAACAGGAUUAGAUACCCCCGUAGUCC
rnacentral:rRNA from 1 species